rnacentral:tRNA from 1 species
GGGCCCGUGGCCUAGCCUGGAUAGGGCACUAGCCUCCUAAGUUAGUAAUCCCCGGUUCGAAUCCGGGCGGGCCCG